rnacentral:tRNA from 1 species
GCUGAAAUAGUUCAGUGGGAGAGUUCAUGCUUAGCAUGCAUGAGGUCCUGGGUUCAAUCCCUGGUACCUCCA